GGCCAACUGCCCUGAGUUGAUAAACUCCUGCUUCCCAAUUGGUUUUUUUUUUUGUUUGUUUGUUUUGCUUUUGCUUUUUAAAAACGUCUUGAGUUUAUUAUGGCCAAAGGCUAGGCGAGCAGAGAACCUGCUCAUAGCCGACCUUGAGAAACGUAGGCAGAAUGUCCAUUGGCGGCAGAGAGCUGAGGAGGUGUUGGGCCGAGCCCUACAAUAGAGGCUGCAGCAGAAGCCUGUGCUCUCCUUUCUGAUGGCUGCCUUGGGAAGUCAGCUCUUCCCCCAGAAAGCCCCAUCUGUAUCUCCGUUGACAUACUGAUGUAGGCUUUAUGAUCACUGCUCGGACCCUCACCUGAGGAAUCAGAUUCUUAUGUACCCGCCUCAGCUUGGCUCGCUUCUGCCCAUUCUUGGUGACGAUUGUCUCCUCAUAGAAUUCGUGAGCCAGAUCUCCAUCUUCAUCGUAGAACAUGGAGCUGUGGAGAGAAGGGGAACAGGCUGGAUUGGAGCCUCAUCCCUGGCCUUGGCAAGGGCCACAGACCACAGGGAAGUACGCUGAACCCCAAGAGAAGACGCACAACGGUAAUCUCCGUGGAAGAACUCUUUGCUUGGUGCCCGGAGGGAAGCAGGCAGUGUGACAAGGCCACUGUUGCCCUGUCAUACCAACAGGAUGUCACAUCAGAGCACCCUCUCU
ensembl:antisense Gm9917 predicted gene 9917